AUCCAUUUAACGAGUUCCUAAUAGGACGAAACGCGCGUUGUGGAU
rnacentral:hammerhead_ribozyme from 1 species